rfam:Triticum urartu cultivar G1812 contig712569, whole genome shotgun sequence.
CCGCAUGAGUUGCGUAUUGCUGUAAAUAUGGACAAAGAGUGAUGUUGAUGAAAUUUAGGUGAGUAUCGUGUGAGUUGUAGAUGCUCAUAAAGGAUUAUCGGACAUGC